rnacentral:misc_RNA from 1 species
GAUGAAGAACGUAGCGAAAUGCGAUAAGUAAUGUGAAUUGUAGAAUUCAGUGAAUCAUCGAAUCUUUGAACGCACAUUGCGCCCGUCAGUAUUCUGGCGGGCAUGCCUGUUCGAGCGUCAUUACGCCCCUCAAGUCCCCUGUGGACUUGGUGUUGGGGAUCGGCGAGGCUGGUUUUCCAGCACAGCCGUCCCUUAAAUUAAUUGGCGGUCUCGCCGUGGCCCUCCUCUGCGCAGUAGUAAAACACUCGCAACAGGAGCCCGGCGCGGUCCACUGCCGUAAAACCCCCCAACUUUUUAUAGUUGACCUCGAAUCAGGUAGGACUACCCGCUGAACUUAAGCAUAUCAAUAAGCGGAGGA